rnacentral:misc_RNA from 1 species
GGCAUCCUUGGCUCGGUUUUUGGAGAAGCGCAAGGAGAGGUAAGUUGUAUAAAUUCAAGCAAAAGAAGAAAUAUUUUUUCACAAUUUGAUUAUGAAUUGACUGAUAUCUAAUGAAAAAUUGUUGACCCAUUAUGGAUGGUAAACAAGGUGAUGAUCUGUGGAAAUGUAUGCACUCUUUAUCCUGUCACUUUGUCAGCAGUAUAUAACUCAACCUAGCUAAACCUUAAUCCCAAACUAGUCGGGGUUAAAUAAUUUUGCUUGCCAUAUCUUGACUUUUAUUCAGUGAAUGACUGAA